GAGUUUGAUCGUGGCUCAGGAUGAACGCUAGCGGGAGGCCUAACACAUGCAAGCCGAGCGGUAUUGUUUCUUCGGAAAUGAGAGAGCGGCGUACGGGUGCGGAACACGUGUGCAACCUGCCUUUAUCUGGGGGAUAGCCUUUCGAAAGGAAGAUUAAUACUCCAUAACAUAUUUAACGGCAUCGUUUGAUAUUGAAAGCUCCGGCGGAUAGAGAUGGGCACGCGCAAGAUUAGCUAGUUGGUGAGGUAACGGCUCACCAAGGCGAUGAUCUUUAGGGGGCCUGAGAGGGUGAUCCCCACACUGGUACUGAGACACGGACCAGACUCCUACGGAGGCAGCAGUGAGGAAUAUUGGUCAAUGGGUGCAAGCCUGAACCAGCCA
rnacentral:rRNA from 1 species